rnacentral:rRNA from 1 species
GAUGAACGCUGGCGGCGUGCUUAACACAUGCAAGUCGAACGGUGAACGAGGGAGCUUGCUCCCUCCGGAUCAGUGGCGAACGGGUGAGUAACACGUGAGCAAUCUGCCCUGGACUCUGGGAUAAGCGUUGGAAACGACGUCUAAUACCGGAUACGAGACGUGAAGGCAUCUUCAACGUCUGGAAAGAACUUCGGUCCAGGAUGAGCUCGCGGCCUAUCAGGUAGUUGGUGAGGUAACGGCGCACCAAGCCUACGACGGGUAGCCGGCCUGAGAGGGUGACCGGCCACACUGGGACUGAGACACGGCCCAGACUCCCACGGGAGGCAGCAGUGGGGAAUAUUGCACAAUGGGCGCAAGCCUGAUGCAGCAACGCCGCGUGAGGGACGACGGCCUUCGGGUUGUAAACCUCUUUUAGCAGGGAAGAAGCGAAAGUGACGGUACCUGCAGAAAAAGCACCGGCUAACUACGUGCCAGCAGCCGCCGUAAGAC